rnacentral:rRNA from 1 species
GACAGAGGGUGCAAACGUUGUUCGGAAUUACUGGGCGUAAAGAGCGUGUAGGCUGCUUUGCAAGUCGGAUGUGAAAGCCCUUGGCUCAACUGAGGAAGAGCACCCGAAACUGCAAGGCUAGAGUCUCGGAGAGGAAGGUGGAAUGCUUGGUGUAGAGGUGAAAUUCGUAGAUAUCAAGCGGAACACCGGUGGCGAAGGCGGCCUUCUGGACGAUGACUGACGCUGAGACGCGAAAGCGUGGGGAGCAAACAGG